rnacentral:rRNA from 1 species
AAUAAGCGGAGGAAAAGAAACUAACAAGGAUUCCCCUAGUAACUGCGAGUGAAGCGGGAAAAGCUCAAAUUUAAAAUCUGGCGGCUUAUAGUCGUCCGAGUUGUAGUCUGGAGAAGUGCUUUCCGCGCUGGACCGUGUACAAGUCCCUUGGAACAGGGCGUCAUAGAGGGUGAGAAUCCCGUCUUUGACACGGACUACCAGUGCUUUGUGAUGCGCUCUCAAAGAGUCGAGUUGUUUGGGAAUGCAGCUCAAAAUGGGUGGUAAAUUCCAUCUAAAGCUAAAUACAGGCGAGAGACCGAUAGCGAACAAGUACCGUGAGGGAAAGAUGAAAAGCACUUUGGAAAGAGAGUUAAACAGUACGUGAAAUUGCUGAAAGGGAAACGAUUGAAGUCAGUCGCGUUGUCUGGAAGUCAGCCUUGCAAUUUUGUUUGGUGUAUUUUUUAGAUUGACGGGCCAGCAUCGAUUUUGACCGUUGGAUAAAGAUGAGGGGAAUGUGGCACCUUCGGGUGUGUUAUAGCCCCUUGUCACAUACAACGGUUGGGAUCGAGGAACUCAGCACGCCUUUAUUGGUCGGGGUUCGCCCACGUUCGUGCUUAGGAUGCUGGCAUAAUGGCUUUAAACGACCCGUCUUGAAACACGGACCAAGGAGUCUAACAUACCUGCGAGUGUUUGGGUGGUAAACCCGAGCGCGUAAUUAAAGUAAAAGUUGAGAUCCCCGUUACAAGGGAGCAUCGACGCCCGGACUUGACCUUCUGUGAUAGCUCUGCGGUAGAGCAUGUAUGUUGGGACCCGAAAGAUGGUGAACUAUGCCUGAAUAGGGUGAAGCCAGAGGAAACUCUGGUGGAGGCUCGUAGCGAUUCUGACGUGCAAAUCGAUCGUCAAAUUUGGGUAUAGGGGCGAAAGAUAAUCCGAACCAUCUAGUAG